CCCAACUGAUUGAACGUGCUUGCACGGACUUGACGUUGGUUUACCAGCGAGUGGCGGACGGGUGAGUAACACGUAGGUAACCUGCCCCAAAGCGGGGGAUAACAUUUGGAAACAGAUGCUAAUACCGCAUAACAAUUUGAAUCGCAUGAUUCAAAUUUAAAAGAUGGCUUCGGCUAUCACUUUGGGAUGGACCUGCGGCGCAUUAGCUUGUUGGUAGGGUAACGGCCUACCAAGGCUGUGAUGCGUAGCCGAGUUGAGAGACUGAUCGGCCACAAUGGAACUGAGACACGGUCCAUACUCCUACGGGAGGCAGCAGUAGGGAAUCUUCCACAAUGGGCGCAAGCCUGAUGGAGCAACACCGCGUGAGUAAAGAAGGGUUUCGGCUCGUAAAGCUCUGUUGUUAGAGAAGAACGUGCGUGAGAGCAACUGUUCACGCAGUGACGGUAUCUAACCAGAAAGUCACGGCUAACUACGUGCCAGCAGCCGCGGUAAUACGUAGGUGGCAAGCGUUAUCCGGAUUUAUUGGGCGUAAAGCGAGCGCAGGCGGUUUGAUAAGUCUGAUGUGAAAGCCUUUGGCUUAACCAAAGAAGUGCAUCGGAGACUGUCAGACUUGAGUGCAGAAGAGGACAGUGGAACUCCAUGGGUAAACGCGGG
rnacentral:rRNA from 1 species